CAACUCGAUCUAUCGAGUUACCGAGGGUACCAUCAUACCUUUCCACUCCAAUUCCGACCACCGACAUUACACGUCAACCAUAUCAUUGGUGCAUCGGCCAAUCGCGAGUGCUUCAAUCUCAAUCAAAUCCUUGCUCUAUCACGAGACGGCACACUUCGGCGCGUCUCAACCUCAACUCUUUUGAGAGCAUUAUCCACUAACUUCAACUCCAAUUCUCACGUGGCUUUU
rnacentral:lncRNA from 1 species